CUGGUUGAUCCUGCCAGUAGUCAUAUGCUUGUCUCAAAGAUUAAGCCAUGCAUGUCUAAGUACGAGCCUGAUUAAGGUGACACUGCGAAUGGCUCAUUAAAUCGGUUGUGGUUCAUUGGAUGUAACAGUCUACUUGGAUAACUGUGGUAAUUCUAGAGCUAAUACAUGCAAGCAAGCCCCGACUCUCGGAAGGGCGCUUUUAUUAGAUCAAAACCAAUCGGGCUUCGGUCCGUCCUCUUGGUGACUCUGAAUAACUUUUAGCGGAUCGCACGGUCUCGCACCGGCGACUCGUCUUUCAAAUGUCUGCCUUAUCAACUUUCGAUGGUAGGUUAUGCGCCUACCAUGGUUGUAACGGGUAACGGGGAAUCAGGGUUCGAUUCCGGAGAGGGAGCCUGAGAAACGGCUACCACAUCUAAGGAUGGCAGCAGGCGCGCAAAUUACCCAAUCCCGACACGGGGAGGUAGUGACGAAAAAUAACAAUACGGGACUCAUCCGAGGCCCCGUAAUUGGAAUGAGUACACUUUAAAUCCUUUAGCGAGGAUCGAUUGGAGGGCAAGUCUGGUGCCAGCAGCCGCGGUAAUUCCAGCUCCAAUAGCGUAUAUUAAAGUUGUUGCGGUUAAAAAGCUCGUAGUUGGAUCUCAGUUGCCGUCGCGCGGUCCGCCUUACGGCGGCACUGCGCGUUCGGAACAUUCUGCCGGUUUGUCCGAGGUGCUCUUUACCGAGUGUCUCGGGGUGGCCGGACCGUUUACUUUGAAAAAAAUAGGGUGCUCAAAGCAGGCAAUUGCCUGAAUGUCGUGCAUGGGAUAAUGGAAUAGGGCCUCGGUUCUAUUUUGUUGGUUUUCGGAACUCGAGGUAAUGAUAAGUAGGGACAGGCGGGGGCAUCCGUAUUGCGACGCUAGAGGUGAAUUUCUUGGAUCGUCGCAAGACGAACUACUGCGAAAGCAUUUGCCAAGCAUGUUUUCAUUAAUCAAGAACGAAAGUUAGAGGUUCGAAGGCGAUCAGAUACCGCCCUAGUUCUAACCAUAAACGAUGCUGACCAGCGAUCUGUUGGCGUUAAUUAGAUGACCCAACAGGAAGCUUCCGCGAAAGCAAAGUCUUUGAGUUCCGGGGGAAGUAUGGUUGCAAAUCUCAAACUUAAAGGAAUUGACGGAAGGGCACCACCAGGAGUGGAGCCUGUGGCUUAAUUUGACUCAACACGGGAAACCUCACCAGGCCCGGACACCGGAAGGAUUGACAGAUUGAGAGCUCUUUCUUGAUUCGGUGGGUGGUGGUGCAUGGCCGUUCUUAGUUGGUGGAGCGAUUUGUCUGGUUAAUUCCGAUAACGAACGAGACUCUGGCCUACUAAAUAGGCAAAGGAUCCUAUUCGUCCUUUGAUCUUCUUAGAGGGACAGGUGGCGUUCAGCCACACGAGAUUGAGCAAUAACAGGUCUGUGAUGCCCUUAGAUGUUCUGGGCCGCACACGCGCUACACUGAAGGAAUCAGCGUGUACUCCUUGCCCGAGAGGGCUGGGCAACCCGCUGAACCUCCUUCGUGAUAGGGAUUGGGGCUUGCAAUUAUUCCCCAUGAACGAGGAAUUCCCAGUAAGCGCGAGUCAUAAGCUCGCGUUGAUUACGUCCCUGCCCUUUGUACACACCGCCCGUCGCUACUACCGAUUGAACGAUUUAGUGAGGCCUUCGGACUGGUGGUCGGAUCGGCGCUCGCGUCGAUCCGGCGCGCUCGGAAAGUUGGCCAAACUUGAUCGUUAAGAGGAAGUAAAAGUCGUAACAAGGUUUCCGUAGGUGAACCUGCGGAAGGUUCCAUUA
rnacentral:rRNA from 1 species